CAUACCAUAGCGAGUUUUCAAAGUCUUAAGUGUUUAAGUUGUGUGUUUUUGUUUUAAAUAAUUUGAGGUUUUAUCGAAGUAUCGUAUGUUUUUAAGUCGGAUUUGAGUCAAGGCCCCACUUGAGUGUAUAAAAGAUUGUUUAUUGUUAUGCGUUCUACCGUGCCAGCCCCGUGCACCCUUGCCUACCACUUUCAAAAGAAGCAGCGCAGAACCAUGGCUGUCUCGCGCACGUAGGGGUGAAUGGUGAUGGUGGGGAAGGGCCUGGAGCAGAGGUGGCCCGGAUAAGUCGUUGGGGUGAGGUGUCUUUCCCCACCACUCUGAUUCUCCUGCUGUCCUGCAUGCACGACUCAAACAGAGUCAUUGAUUGAGGUGCUGGUGAACUGAUUGAAGACUUAAAAAUGUUUUGCUAUAGUGUGAGGUGUGAUAGUACGGACUGUUGUGAUAAAUUACCAC